rnacentral:rRNA from 1 species
UACGGGGGGGGGCAAGCGUUGUUCGGAAUUACUGGGCGUAAAGGGCUCGUAGGCGGCCAACUAAGUCCGACGUGAAAUCCCCAGGCUUAACCUGGGAACUGCGUCGGAUACUGGAUGGCUUGAAUCCGGGAGAGGGAUGCGGAAUUCCAGGUGUAGCGGUGAAAUGCGUAGAUAUCUGGAGGAACACCGGUGGCGAAGGCGGCAUCCGUGGACCGGCAUUGACGCUGAGGAGCGAAAGCCAGGGGGAG